rnacentral:lncRNA from 1 species
GAUAAAAUUUCAUCAUCAAAUAACUAUUCAUUCAAGUAUAAUUUUUUCAUUAAAGUAUGAAAAUUCAUCUAAAUACUUCAUCCAUGUUUCAAAUUUUCAUUCAAGUUUAAUUCCUCUACCGAGAGGAAUCAUAGAUUUUUCUUUGUUCGGGAUGUCGACCACAAUAGAUUGAUGUAGAGGGUGAGUACGCUCAACUCGUUGAAUUUGAAGGUU